UCGUAUUUCCAUCUGUUGUUUUCUAAGAGUUACCUGCCAAAAGAAGAUACUACAUAACAAAUCUCAUUUUACUUAGGGAAAUAAAAGGGCCAUUUACGUAUCAUUCCCCCAUAUUGGAGAACCUAAAUGAGUCCUAUAUUUUGCUAACUGCUUUUCAUAGUUGGUGCCCCCAUGUUGGAGAGGUCUAGUGAUGAGUGAUUUUUAUACCUACGAAUCGGAUCUCAUUAGACUUGGAUUAUUAUUAAUCUCUGUUGUUUUGUG
rnacentral:lncRNA from 1 species